AUUCCAGCAUGGUGGUCGUCGGCUCCGCGGACUCGAAGAUGAAGACGGAGGUGGAGGAGAGCGAGCUGGCCGAAGGUGAGGCGGUUCCAACCCUAGCCGCCGCAGUGGGUCACCAGCGCCGCGUCUCCCUCACCUCUGUCGGCCGACAGCACCAACGGUUGCUUUCCUCCUGCCUUCAUGCGCGCCAGCAACCGGGACCUGCAGCCUCCACCACCGGUGUCGGAAUUAUGUCAGGGAAGGUAAGCCCCAAACCCCCUCCCUUCUCGUCUGCUCCUCCAACAUCUCCUCCAACAUCUGAUGUACGCGUGUAUUAUACCAUCUCGUCUGCUUGUAUUGUGUAAGGAAAUCAAGGGCUUGCGGAAGAGAUAGGAGGUCCAUGGAGAAGAUGCUCUGCUCCACCUCCAACCCACCCUGCCUGCUACUACAGGAACAGGAUGCCAUGGAAGGUCUUUUUUAUGUUUGGUCCUGCUUGUGCUUGUAUUCAAGCAGCCAUGUGUGUAUAAAAUAGGUUCAGUCUGCAGCAGUCACAUGAUAUGUCUGUCUACUACACGGUUUGAUCAUUUCUGAAAUCGUGCUAGUUCGAGCAACACUUAGAGGGCAUACCAGGUAGAAAAUGUCAUUCAAAUUACUCAAAUGGAACUGUCAGCUGUGUGAACAUUGCAUUUAAACUUAAUUUUAU
rnacentral:lncRNA from 1 species